rnacentral:rRNA from 1 species
GUAGGGUGCAAGCGUUAAUCGGAAUUACUGGGCGUAAAGCGUGCGCAGGCGGCUUUGCAAGACAGAUGUGAAAUCCCCGGGCUUAACCUGGGAACUGCAUUUGUGACUGCAAGGCUGGAGUGCGGCAGAGGGGGAUGGAAUUCCGCGUGUAGCAGUGAAAUGCGUAGAUAUGCGGAGGAACACCGAUGGCGAAGGCAAUCCCCUGGGCCCGCACUGACGCUCAUGCACGAAAGCGUGGGGAGCAAACAGGAUUAGAUACCCUGGUAGUCCACGCCCUAAACGAUGUCAACUGGUUGUUGGACGGCUUGCUGUUCAGUAACGAAGCUAACGCGUGAAGUUGACCGCCUGGGGAGUACGGCCGCAAGGUUG